rnacentral:rRNA from 1 species
GACGAACCGUGCGAACGUUGUUCGGAAUCACUGGGCUUAAAGGGCGCGUAGGCGGAUGACCAAGUCAGGGGUGAAAUCCUCCGGCUUAACCGGAGAACUGCCUGUGAUACUGGUCGUCUGGAGUGAGGUAGGGGCAUGCGGAACUUCCGGUGGAGCGGUGAAAUGCGUAGAUAUCGGAAGGAACACCGGUGGCGAAGGCGGCGUGCUGGACCUCAACUGACGCUGAGGCGCGAAAGCCAGGGGAGCAAACGGG